CAGUCCGGAAUGAAUAGCACUGAAGUCCGUGCAUCAGACUAUACUGAUGCUGAGAAACAGCAUACGACUACUGACAGCACAAAACGGAACACAGAGUCUUCGGGCAGACAGUAUGUCAAUGUGUUGUUGGAUCUCAGCGAAGAGGAUUGUUGCAGGGAGCACAGCAUAAAUUUGCUUCAGAGCCGCACUGGCUGGGAAGAUGCGGUUGAAGGUUGGGGGAGAUUUCCUUCUUUUGGUGUAUUUCUUCAACCUCCAAGGAAGGGGAAAAAAAUCAAGCAAGACUUCAUAGACUCUCACUGUCUCCUCUGUGCAGACCUUAAUCUUUCUGAUUUGCCAAUCUACUGCUCUGCUGGAAAUGCUUUGAAAAGUUUCAGAAAGACUGAUCCAACCAUUCUAGAUCUUGCAGAGGAAACUGACAAUUCCUCUUCAGAUGAACUUUACUCUCUCAGUUUAUCUCUGCAAAAUAUGUCAGAACCAUUAAUGAACAAAUUGUUGUCUGGAGAUGAACAGUGUACACAAAAAUCACCAUCAGUCUGCUAUUACCAUACAGAACCGUGUCAAAUCCUGAAGGAAAAUACAGUUGCUCUUAGCAUCAGAAGCUUUCGUGUGUUGCCACCUGUCAAAGAGUCCAGAAACCUGAGGAAGAGUCUUUUUAAAAGAGUGGAGCCAACAAAUUUCCAUCCAGCAGAAGUUGUCACCAAGGCCAUAAUGCCAGAUGCCACCAGAGCGGUCACUGCUGAUGAAAGAUUGAGUGUCAGUGGUGACCCAGGAAAUGUCUUCAAGGUCCUCACAGACUUUAUUCCAAAAGAGAACGGCUACAGGUUAAAGGAAGCUCCCUGCACAAAGCAUUGGCUGUCCCAGGAAAGCAAUCACCUGCCAUCUAUUUUUAACAUAACUUUUCAAAAUAAGUAUAAUUUACCCUCCAGCACUGUGUCAAAUACAUUACCACAGGCUUUCUAUGCCCUGGGAAGAAACCUCAGGCAGGAAGAAUUGACAAGGCCUUCUACCAGGAGCAACAUCAGUUAUAGACUGUAUUCUAGCCACAAAGCAAGAGAUCUGAAAAGACCUGAAGCUCAUCGACUAAUGCUGAUUGGAACGAGAUUUCACAUGCCUAUGUGA
ensembl:lncRNA